rnacentral:rRNA from 1 species
GACGAACGCUGGCGGCGUGCUUAACACAUGCGAGUCGAACGGAAAGGCCCUGCUUUUGUGGGGUGCUCGAGGGGCGAACGGGGGAGUAACACGUGAGUAACCUGCCCUUGACUUUGGGAUAACUUCAGGAAACUGGGGCUAAUACCAGAUAGGAGAUCCUGCUGCGUGGUGGGGGUUGGAAAGUUUCGGCGGUUGGGGAUGGACUCGCGGCUUAUCGGCUUGUUGGUGGGGUAGUGGCUUACCAAGGCUUUGGCGGGUAGCCGGCCUGGGAGGGUGACCGGCCACAUUGGGCCUGCGAUACGGCCCAGUCUCCUACGGGAGGCAGCAGGGGGGAAUAUUGCACAAUGGGCGGAAGCCUGAUGCAGCAACGUCGCGUGCGGGAUGACGGCCUGCGGGUUGUAAACCGCUUUCGCCUGUGACGAAGCGUGAGUGACGGUAAUGGGUAAAGAAGCACCGGCUAACUACGUG